rnacentral:tRNA from 1 species
GGGGUUGUAGCUCAACGGUAGAGCGCUCGCCUAGCACGUGCGAGACGCUGGGUUCAAUCCUCAGCACCACA